rnacentral:rRNA from 1 species
UAGCGCCUCGUGAAUUCAUCUCCGGGGGUAGAGCACUGUUUCGGCUAGGGGGCCAUCCCGGCUUACCAACCCGAUGCAAACUGCGAAUACCGGAGAAUGUUAUCACGGGAGACACACGGCGGGUGCUAACGUCCGUCGUGAAGAGGGAAACAACCCAGACCGCCAGCUAAGGUCCCAAAGUCAUGGUUAAGUGGGAAACGAUGUGGGAAGGCCCAGACAGCCAGGAUGUUGGCUUAGAAGCAGCCAUCAUUUAAAGAAAGCGUAAUAGCUCACUGGUCGAGUCGGCCUGCGCGGAAGAUGUAACGGGGCUAAACCAUGCACCGAAGCUGCGGCAGCGAACGUAUCACUUAAAGCGAUUCAGCGGGUUACGAUUGACGGAGCGAAGCGACGUCAAAGCGUAUACAAAGUCGAGUCGGUUUAAGGAUACGUU